ensembl:lncRNA
AAAAAAAAGAAUCAUGUGCGCUCGAUUUGCUGUUGGUUCAAAAUGCUCUAAUACACUAAGACAUGUGUUCGCUUUGCAUGUACUUCUGCAGAAAACGAAACACAAACAGGCCUUUGCAUCCUUUGCAUCCGAAGCUGAGACUUCAGAAACGAACCCUCUCACAUCCCCAAAUAUAUGUUCAGUACCCUUAAGGCUGGGCAUGGGCACUGGAUUCAAAUGUAAGGUGCAAGCAAAUAAAGGUACAAUCUGUUUGUUACACGAUAACUUUUGCCGUUUUGUAAUUGAUCUAAUUAACACGUUGGUAAUGCUAUUUUUUGAUGUAAUUCACUGCGUUGGCUACCUGUGUUCGAGCUAUUUUUAGGUUCACAGCAAACAUUAAGUCAUUGCUAGGAACCCUUCUUUAACUUACUUUAGCUCGCAGGUACGGUUGCAUAGUAAUGGGAUCAUUUAAAUAGCCUUGUGCAGAAAGAAAACCUUCCCUUUUAUGCAUCAUCUCACCCACAACACACACAUCAAAGGCGAUGCCGCGCUGCUCAGGGAAGCCGGUUUCCAGCGUUCAUCCAGCCUCAGACAAUACGAGCUGGGAGAGAAAUACAGUGUGAACUAUCAGCAGCACGAUUUAAUAUCAGCUCUGCAAACGAACAAACAUGGCUGGGAGGAGGACAAGGUAACGACAGAACAUCAGAGAGAACCAAGGCCUAGAUUCACAUCUCAUAGCUCCUGACAAACCUCGUCCCCCAUUAUCGUCUUUUAACUUCAGCGCUGGUGACAGGUCCCUUAUGUUACCCAUCAGCGGAGGCAUUUAACAGCGGUCAACCUGUGGCAAUAUUGCUUUAAUUUGUCUUUGUUGUAACGACAUGUGUAGCUUCACUGCUUGCACGAGUUAGUGUCAAUGUAAGAAAGAAGAAUUACGAAAAUUCAGUCAGCCGUUCGCCUCUAAAAUGUUCCUACGAACCCCGAAUCUGUGAAUGUGUUUCUUCUCUUGGUUGUCGGCUGCCCUUUUUUUCUCUGAAGAAUAACUCGCCGAUAUCGACCGUCACCUCCGGCUGAAGGGAAAAUCACAUGAGAAGACGGAGCCUGGUUCAUCUCACUCACAAAUGUCCGGAGCGCGUGUUUAGAAGUCGUAGUCACAGUUCCAACGACGUGAAAAUCAUUUCUCACAAUAUGCGAGAAUACUGACGUUGACUCCAGGGAGAUUUAUUGGUACCUUUUUUUCCACCAUUUAAAUGAACAAUCUUAGCAUGCUAACAUUUGUUUUUCACCUACGUCGACCUUCCUAGAUCAGCGACUGUGAGUAAAUAAAACGAUGUAAUAGAAAACUAGAACAGUGCAACAAACAGCAGGAUGAACCCCAGUGAUUCAGCUCAGGCGUGUGUGAGCUCAUUUGGCAGCAAUGACAACUGGAUAGAUGAUAUAUCUAGAUUAUUCAUAGAAUUUAGUGUUGGAGUGUACUUUGUUCACCCAGGGAGUUGAAAACAAUUCACAACAACUUUAUCGCCACCACUAAAAGAUAUGCAGGGGAAGAACUUCAAUUCCAAUUUUGUGAUGCAAAGUUCCACUCACCGCUGCAGUAAGAGCCUCUCCCACAGAACAAACACAUCUCACGAUGACACAGAUAAUUCAAAAUAAAUCCGCAAACAAAACCCAUCACACGGUAAUUACAGCCCUGCCGUCUGGAUUUUAUUUUUUGGUGCAUCCUUUUUUUUUUUUUUUUUCAAAGGUUUAAUAUCAGUCUUGAAUAUCUUAUUGGUCUGUCGACGGAAACAGGCCGCUGAUGACAUCGUAGCUUUUAUUAAAGCGCCAUUCGUUGUUAAAGGGUUUCGCUGUGAGACGACAAUCUUGUCUGAAAAGGAGAUUUAGGUCAAGAUUUAUAUUUAUAUUUAUAGGACAACGACUUAGUGUUUUUGUGUGUGUUAUUAUCUCCUGCAUUCGCUCCGAGCGCGGAGUUCUUCUCUCAGCUGUCUCCGGUGUGGUCCUCAUCUCCGGGGACUAGAAGUACAGCGUCCCCCCCCCUCAGCCGAGGAAGGGCGAGAGCUUCUUGUCAUGCCUCGAGGCCCGUGCACCAAGGCUGAUUUGGGAUUUGGAUGGGGAGACUCUGCUGUGUUGGCAGCACGUGGGAGGUGAAAAAGGUGCACUGAGCUAAUGGCCCAUUCUGUUCUGUUGACAGAAAGCAGCUGACAACUGGACUUCGGCCACGCGGGGAAGUUUCGUGUGGUCGUCCACACAUAGUUUCAUCCCCGGCGAGGCGAAGCCUGAGAAUGGAUUUGUUUGAAAAGAGCAAUUUGUUUAGUGGUGUGCGGGCUCUCCCCCGAGGAAACUCAACGAUUGAAAAACCUGUAAUGGAAGUCGGCCCCUCCGAAUAAAAGGGGCAGCAGCUGUUGUAAACCCCGUCAGAUAGCAAAGAAAAACACUCCCGAAAGCGCUUUGUCAAUCCGGGGCGAAUAGUCCAAAAAAUGUCUGAUGCAAUCAAGUCAUCAUUUAAGUGUUUGUGAUCAGCUGCAGCUGAUGUUGGAAUAAACGAUAUACGAUUUUACACUUGACUGAUGCGGCGGCUGUAUUGACAGAAUAUACACCUUUAGAGUUUAAUCGGUAUUAAAAAGGUAUGUAGGAUCGAUAUUAGCGAUAAUAUUUGUUAGCUUUUGUAUCUACACAGGGAGUGGCUCACAGUCUCACCUCAAAGGAUGUUACACAAAGCUCCUUUACCUGAUUGUGGUUGAAUGUGGGACGUUAUUAGGAAGUGAGGGUUCAGUAUUCAAUGAAGCGAGGUACUAAAAAAAAGGUGAAAAUAAAAUAUGUAUGAAGCAUAAAGGCUUUCGGUGUUCGGUGUUUUGUAAAUGUCAAGUCAACCGAUGUGACUCCGGCAAUUAGCUUCUCCAAAGUCAGCUCUCCGAUUGGAAAUAUGGUUCCUAGUGUGAGACGGACGGUACGUCGAGCCAGAUGAACAAGCAAGCAACUGAACGAAGCCGCAGGUGAAUUAUUAAUGGGCAUUUGUGAGCUCGGAUAGACAGCAUGCCGUGCUGUGAUCUAAUAAAAGUCAGAACUGUCUUCCACUUGCGAUCCUCAAUGCUGCUUCACCUGUUUGUGUGAGAUUAUGUGCGUUUGUGAGGCCUCGCCGGGCGGGAGGAUCACCAAGUAUUCAGCUUUGAAUACCGUGUGUUUAAGACCUUUAUUGUGAAACGUGAGAACGGAUAUCCCUGAUCAAUAAUAACAUCUUUAUCCACACUCACACAGCUUUGAUACCGUCUUAUAUUUGUUCAUACCUUCUAAUUUCGCUCUCAUACUGUCAUACAACACACACACACACACACACACACACACACACACACCAGGUAACACUAGCGCCUGUGAUCCACCUCCCCAGACGUUGUAGAGUAUCUUUUAAUCUAAGCCCACUAAUACGCCGUUAAAAAAAAGGUAUUGCCGUGCAUUUGUUCCCGGUACACUAGAUUCACAUUAAACUUUAAUGAUCUCUGGAUAGAAACUGGGUCACUGCAGCAAAUGUGAAGGCGUUUGUAGAAAAGGCCUUAGAGUCACCAGUUAGUGUUGCUAAGUACCGUUAGCGUGGUGGGCUUCUGUGUCUAACGUGGUGUACCUGCUCAUUCAGUGCCGGCAGCCGAUCCAUACGUUUGGCACGUGUAAAGGGGCUUAACAGUGGAGGGGGUCUACGUCCCAUCAGGGGGAGCGAGAUCACUUCAUCUCUUCAUGUACUUACAGUGAGUGGAUGAGAAAACUCAGCCUGCAAAUGCUUUCGCUGCGCAAGUUGCACACUAAGUUACGUACACACUGAUUAACGGAUUUUAUUUAUUGUUGAGCCGAAAGACGAAGGGGCUCAUGUAAAACCAUGUGCUCUGCAUGCCUGUAGAUUUUCACAAUAAAAGCAUCACGCUGGUUUGUCAUAAAUUCAAAUUAAGAUUUUAGGUAGGAGUGAGUAAUCAAGCCACCCGUUAGCACUGGUUUUCACAACCGCUCCAAAACAUUCAAAACCUCCGCUGCUGCUCUCAGAUCUGCGUGUGUGCUCUCCAUCCAUUCCACAGUUUGCCUUUAUUGCUUCUCCUCUGUUACAUACUUUGCUCAUCACUUUCCUCCCCCCCGGGGUUCUGCAGGUAGUCUGACAGGGGGGGGGGGGGGAAGAAAAAGAGAGGUCUCUCUUCUGGGGGCAGAAGAGUACAGACACGGUGGACGGGUUGUGCCCUGCGGCCAGAUGGCGACACCAGGAUCGAUGGCGGAUGGCGUAAAUGGGAACUGUAAGAGGUACUAAAACAACGUCCUUCAUGAAACUAGUAGAUAGCGGCGGCUGCUUGUUCCCGCACACCGCCGGCAUUGCGCCACUCAGCACGUUGUAGAGGAAUACUACUAUAAAAGAUGCGUCCAUUUCACUGCUGAAAUACAGCGUGUGCCGCAGUCCUCCUAAUAAAACAAGCACUACGCGUCUUUUCCCCUUUUGAAAUCUCCAGUGCAGCAUCUCCGUCUUCAGGCAGCUGUACCUUUUUGUUUGAGCGGCCGGCGAAUAAGUGCUGCUUCCUUUGUGGGCGCCGUGUGCGCUGCCAUUCACGAGGCGCAUCCAGCGGCUGCUGUUGUACAGUAAUGGAAAACACACACACACACACACACACACACACACACUGGCGCGGCUGCCGCAGUCCCCCUCUGGCAGCAGGCCUCAUUAAAGCCGCGGCGGGCUCAGUCGGCCUGUCGCACCACAUCCCUCUGCCCAUUUAUCUGGAGGUGACCAUUGUUGCGUGGUGGCGUGCAGGCUCCAGUGUGUCAACGCGUGUGUGUGUGUGUGUGUGUAUCAGUAGGUCACUGUGUUAGAGAUGUUCACUGUCCGUGUCAAUUUACGCCGCUCAUUCCACCGCGGGCGUCUGGUAUCCGAUCCAAUAAAAAGGUCUCUGGUCUAUUCACUCAGGUGCGGAAGGCAUCUUCACGACACGCGCUUUCCGUCUUUCAUGUCAUAGGGAUGUUUUUUUGUCAGCACGGGAGGAAAAGCUUCACAGAAACCCGGCCUGAACUCAUUUCAAAGUGAUAAUAGAGGUUGUAAAAAGAAGAAAGCAGCAUUUAUUCAGUCUCAUGUGUGCCCUUCCCCCUCUUUAUGUACCAAUGCAGUCCGUGCUUAAAAUAGCUGGUAAUUUAUGCCGUGGAUACACUGUUGGCUUCCCGUGUUUGGCAUGUUUCCUUUGCAAGCCUGUCUGAAGCUCUUUGCUCUUCUGGCAUGGUUCACCUUAUUAGAAUUCCCUGCAGGCAUAAUCCAAGGACGACCUGGUCUGCAGGUGGAUAGCUUUAGCUGUCGGGCCACAUUUCUGCAGGAAACACUGUAAAGAACACACAGGGAGAGGGUCAGGGAGGGAGAUAAUUGAUUCCACGACACUCUGGGGAGGGAUGAAAGAUGUCUCCUUGUAUUGCAUGAAACACAAAACCUAUAAAAGACGAGGGUUAGAUGCCCUGUUAGACACGUUACGAGCGUGGACCGUUUCAUUGUGAUCUAUGAUGUCAUUUAGUUUCUUCACCCAAGCAUCACAUACACAACAUUCUCAAGCUUUGCUUGUUUUAUUUCAAUACUAUAUUGAUUUGAUCUGGACCAAUGCCAAACUCCAUUGGCCAAUGCGCCUCUCAGUAAAAUCUAUCCAGUUUCCUCAACUCCCCGUUUGACCUCCAGUCUACACAUCGCUGCUUCACCUCAACGGUUCACAUUCUUCACGCCCCCCCCGAACACACACGAGCACAUUUGCUGCUAAAGCUGGAAGCUCACUACACGGUGCAGAGGAGGAUUGUCUGCCCGGUGUGACCUCGACACUUCCCUCCCCAACAUAAGGCCACUCUCACUUUACAACCAGUUUGAGUCUAUAGGUCACCGUGACCGUGUGCUACGAGCUUACUUAUUUCACAGAAAGCUAAAAACACAGUAACCGGGCUCAUGGACGGCUGUCUAUAUAUUCAACCCGCCACUCAACGUGGUGACAAGAAAGCCAGACAGCGGCUCUUUAGCCCCAGAAGUUAUCCAGACUUUUAGUUGCUUGUGUGGGUCGAAAUCCAUUAAAAAGCUUCCGUCUGUGAUCCAGGCUGUCAGUCAAACAUUUGCAGUCAGGAAGUGCAGAGCGUGACGACUUUGACAUGGUUGUCAGAGGUUAUUUCAACUUUUCCCCUCAGACUGCACAAAGAGCAGGGCUCAACAUGACGCACUGACUGUGUCCCCUUUAACAACUCCAUCCCCCCCCCGAAUUCAUAUUUUUAUUUACUGGGAUCUGAAAGUGUUUCAACCUACUUACUGACAAAGAUUAUAAUGUAGUGAAGACAAAAAGCCCCCCGCACCCCCCCGUACCACACUAACACCCAGGUGUGCCUUGUAGUCUCAUCGCAACUGUUCCAUUUAUUAUAAAAGUUUUGUUGUUGCCUCUGCAGAAGUAAUGGGAAGUAAAUGGCGUUCACAUCUCGCGUUUCAUGUUUUUUCGGAUUCAUUUUAAAGCGAGUGCAGGAAACUGAAAAGUAAUAAAGAGGAAAGUGGGAGAGAGGAUGCUUACACUGAUCACCCGAAAACUACACAGGACGUGAACCAGUUUCCAGAGACGAUUAAUGCACAUCUGGACUUGAGGCUCAAUCAGAAGAUGUGUUGAGCCUGAUUAAAUCUGCGACUGGAUCGAUUAAAUUGCAUUGUGGGGAACCAGAACGCUGGGUUUGGACAAGGAAGAAUGCCGGUAAUAAAAAAACACAUCUCUGGUUUUGCUGCAUUGAUUUGGAUCUAUUUCUUCUGAACCGCCGAUCUUUACUCUGCAGCUGAGAUAUCAAAUCGGUGCGCUCGUGUCAGACGUGCUCCAAACAGCGUGAUAUGGAUUUCUGUACAUUACCAACUAGUGCAGUCCUCUUUACGUGAAAGCAGCCAUUCAUUAGAAAAUCGAUCAGGAGUUUGGGAGUGAAAAUGUGUCGCAGUGGAAGGGAGGCAAAUACGCAAAGAUUCCUUCUAGCAUUAUCUCUAAUAGUUGUUAUUCCUUGUGGGUGCAGCACGGUUCUGGGUAUUGAUUAGGUGUUUUAUUUAUUUUUGGAGGCAGUGCUUGAGCUAUUUCUACUUCCACUUUCUCUUUCUGGUUUGGGAAUGAUGCCCUCAGAAGUCAUGAAUUAAUAAUGGCCGACAUCAGAGUGGCUGAGAGAAAAGUGUGAGCUAAAACGGAGACAGGCCCAUUUUACUUCAGGAAGGAAACAUAAGAUCAAUCGGGUUCCUAAAUAAAUAUUUAAAUCAAAUGGACGGAAGACACAGUAGUGUGAUGUUUUGCAGCUAUUUGAGUAAAAGUGAGCCAGAUGAUGGCGCUAAAAGGACCAAAAUCAUAACGAAUCAUCCUGUGGAAAUCAUGUAUGUGUCAGGGAUGCGUGGGAAGGCAGGACUCAACAUGCGGACUUUCAAAAGCAAAAAGACUUUAAUAGUCAGAAACUCCAACACAAAAUGGCCAAGGGGCAAAAACGCAUACAGGUACCGGGGCAAAAAGGCAGGCACAGGAACUCGGCACAUCCAGGACGAUAGACAAUGACGCGACAAGUGACACAAGAGACACACACACACACACUGCUUGAAUACACUAGGGAGGUGCAGGUGAUUGGACACAGGUGGAAACAAUCAGACAAUCACAGGGGAUGACAGGACAAGGCAGGAAGUGAAGUCACCCAGGGAGACACGAAGCAGAAAACUACAAAAUAAGACAGGAAAUAAAACCACACCGUUACAUUUCCACCAAUCCAUUUAGAAAUUUAACAAGGCAACUUGCUGGCGGCGCUGGACUAAAAGUUGAAGUGUGGCCAAAAUGUCAUUGCAAUACAUCCAAAAGCUUUUCAGACAUUUUGAUCUGCAAACAGAAGAUCAUGCUGUCCUUGGACCAUCUCGUGCAUCCCGCGCAGUACGAACACGGCAGCCGACAGGAGAGCCGGUGGGGAGAGAUUUGCAUUCCCAGUUGGGCCAUCGGACUCGCCCGUAAUUAAUGAACGAACCGUAGAUUCUAAAUUAGCGUGCGGUGCGUUUUCUUUUGCACAGAGACAUCAAAACAACAUUAGUGGAGAUGUGGGUGGUGCUACUGUGGCGCUACAGUGAAAAGCUGUGAAAUAGCUCCAGGGUUUUGUAAUACGCAAAUACACAUAUGUGUUACUUAUCAGGACCCUUUAUUGAAGCAACAGUAAAACCAACUCUGAAAUAAAGACAAUACACUUAAAGAAUGAGAAAUUAGAAUAUAAAGUGAAGCGCAAUAAAGCAGAUGACUUAGCAUUACACUGACUGCACAUUGCUCUCCUCGUACAAUAAUUCCUCUACAGCUGCCGAUUAGUUUUUAAUAAGCACCUUCAUAUCCUCAGUGGGCCAUUAGUAUCCUGCAAAAUAACAACGGGGUCAAUAAUAGUGUCCGUCCGCAGCCUGAGCCAAAGCCAGAGAGAUUGAAAUUCCACCCAGUGCCGAGCUGCAGUGAGGAACGCUGUGCAAACAACGGAGGGAAGACGUUGACUACAUCCGCCAGGCGGGAUGUAGUCAACCUCAGUGGAGACCUGCUCACAGCAGGCCGCUUCCAACCAACCCCCCCACCCUCUCGCUCUAAUUGCUCCAUUUGUGCAGCCGCGGUUCUUCUGCCGGACCCCGUGAUUCGUCCUCUCCUCGCGUUCUUUCCUUGAUUAACCGAAGUUUCUCCCUGUGUUCCAUUUGCCUCCUCCCGCGACUCUCUCUAAUCUCCCUUCGUUUCGCUCCCCUCGUCCCUCAGCCUCUUUUCUUUCCUGGAUGGGAGGCUAAAUUAGUGUGUAAUUAUAGUGGCUGGCUCUCGGCUGUGUCGCUCUAAUGGAACAGAGCCCCUCCACGUAGCUCGGUAAUAGCCUGACGGAAUCCAAACUCCACUCUCUGCGCACACACCUCUCUGCUGCCAGCGCACACCAUGCGAGGCUCGAAUUGGAACAAAUGAGAGACGGAGAAAAUGAAUUUUCCACCGACUGCCGUUGUUGCUUCGCAUGCCAUCAAAGGAAGUUCACGCGUUUGUGGAAAAGUUCAUUUAAAACGAAUGUCUAUGUGGAGGGAGCGUUUGGUUUCGGGGUCAUUAGAAGCAAAAGCACGCGGUGCGAUGCUCAUUAUCUCCACAGUUGUCCCCAUUUUCCUUCCUUCAGCGACUGUAAAACCACGGCCCCUCGUGGCCCCUCAUGGCCCCUCUUGGCCCCGGAUCCAUCGCCUCGUCGUUCAAAAAAAAAACCCCAGGUAAAGCUCACAAGAGACCUUGUUUACAGCUGCGGCGUUACGGAGGAUGUUUGAGGAUCUGGGGUGUAAUUUUAAGGGUUUGUUUGCUCUGAAAGUGGGAAAAGAGAGGAAUGACGCAAGAAGGGAGGAGCUGGGAGGAAUGGAGCAGGCGGCCUGGUCGGCACGGAGCGGCAGAACGUUACAAAGGAGCGUGACCGAGGAGCCGCAGUGGAGAGGGACCUCGUCGAGAUGCACUUAUCUCGAGCGCCUCUAACAACACAUCGCGCUGUCGUCCCCACGUCCCCGAGUCACUUUCAGAGCGCCGGCGAAAAAGAGGAGGCAACGUGUUGCAGUGUAAUUGCUCAUCUUCUAAAGCUUUUUUUUUUUUUUUUUUCCUACCAAGGAAAACAAGAGCGCGAGACGAGCAAAAGGGAUAAAAGUGUGUCGGCAAAAGCCAUUAGAGAACAGAAACAAGCCGCGCAGCCUCUAAAGCUGCAGCCGUCAUAAUUAUAGUUUCAAUUGAGCACAUUGCUCCUUGCAUCUGCUUGGUUCUGGUCCACAGUGGGCGCCGCGUUUCAGGCGACGGGUCCCCGGCAAGACUGCAACGACAGCAGGCUUCCGCCUUAUCGAUCUAUUCUGUGUCUCGUCAAACCCGAAAAGAUGCAAAACAUGUCCAAGUGCGUCCGCGUGGGAGCUUAUUCUCUGUGUGGAUUGUGACUGGAUCAAUGUGGAGGGUGAAUGCAGGAGGAAAACGGUUUAGCCAGGUUCUGUUAAAUGAUGUCUUUUCUGCUAAAAAAGAAGAUUUCUAUGCAUGAAAGACACAAAGCAAGGAGACAAAGUGGGAAAAGCCUUCAGACAGGCAAACGGAAUGUAAUUAUACCGAGAGAGACGGGGUGUGUGCGCUUGUGGAGGGGAGAGAAAGUAUUGUGGGUCGCAUAUCAAAUUAGGCUUUUUUUUUUUUAUAUGGGAAGUUUGUAGAUUUCAUUUGACUUCCAAUAUGAAUGUGUUAACCACAAAAUACGCCGCACACAAAAAGGGCAAAGCGAGGCUGCUCGUGGCGACCACGUCUCUCAUGAGACGUGUCUACAAGCCACUGAUUUGCUUUGCAAAUUCUUUUUUUUUUUUCUCAUUUGGAGUCUGUCUUCAGGGCCGCCGCCAUGUGUGGGGAAAAGUUAGGAUGAUUAUAAAAAUAACCAAGAACGCGUUGACGGCGACUGUGGGGCCAGUAGAAAUAUUGACCUCUCGUAACGUGGAUGUUGAAUAUGCGUCGUAUUUAAAGGCAGGUUUUUGGGACGCACUUUGCAGACGAAGGUAAUCUGAAGCACGUCCAUGUUACGUUAUAGUUCUGUCCUUGUUUUGCUGAAUAUCUGGCAGGUCUGACACGCGUCUUUCCAACAGUUUCUCAUGAGAAACCGGCAGUUUCAGUUUGGGAUUUCGGAUGUCGGCUCCCCAGGAGCUGCCGGUGAUUCAUGCAGCGGGCCGUCCUCCUUCAAUCCGCCUUUGAAGCCCCUUUGCUCUUCAUCGUGGACCCCCCCCCCCC